UUGUACGCCUCUCUCUCUUUCACUAAAAAAAAAAAACCUAAACCCAUACAUAUUGCAGCCGUGUGGCCCCAGUCACCGGAGGACAUCAUCAGAGACUCGACGUGACACAAAGGGAGUCAAGAUCAUUCAGGGAUAAUAUUGGGGUGAUAGGACUCACCAGAGAAACACUUGAGAAAUCGAAUUCUAUAUCAGGCCAUUUUUGGAUGCUUGACCAGAAUUAGGAGAUCGAGGAGGUGCAAUAGACGUGGCAAACGCUUAGCUUUGUUUUGCACUGACAUCGAGGCAAGUACGGAGAUGACGGCCAAUUUUCGAGGUGAGCGCGGUUUUCCAUGGAUACAUUUGCUGUUUAUGGGUAGUGUAGGGUUUGAUUAUUAAAGACUUGCGCUUUGUUACGUUCUGAAGA